GGCUUCAUAGCUCAGUGGUUAGAGCACUGGUCUUAUAAACCAGGAGUAGUGAGCUUAAUCCUCACUGGAGCCU
rnacentral:tRNA from 1 species